UUUACAGAGUUUGACUCUUUUCAUCAACAAUAAUUUGGCACCCAACGUGGGGCCUCAGAGAAGACUCAGGACCCCAAAGGAGUUGCCUGAACUCGGAGCUAAGAUACCAGUGGGGCCCAUUGAAGCCUCCCAGACUUCUAGCUUCUCCCCCACUGGAACUGAGACAGAGCCGUGAGACCUGCUGCACUGAGGUCAAUCCUGCCUGACCUCACUGAAAUUCAAUCCUGCCUGUCUUAGGAAUAAUCAAGACACCGGGAAUUUUCUCACUCUAGUUCUUAGAGAAAUAGAAAAUUUCAAAAAACGUUACAAAGUUAUUUAACUAAUAAAAUAUUCAAUAUUUUUCAUACA